rnacentral:rRNA from 1 species
AUUGAACGCUGGCGGCAGGCCUAACACAUGCAAGUCGAACGAGUGGCGGACGGGUGAGUAAUGUCUGGGAAACUGCCUGAUGGAGGGGGAUAACUACUGGAAACGGUAGCUAAUACCGCAUACCAUCGGAUGUGCCCAGAUGGGAUUAGCUAGUGGGUGGGGUAACGGCUCACCUAGGCGACGAACCCUAGCUGGUCUGAGAGGAUGACCAGCCACACUGGAACUGAGACACGGUCCAGACUCCUACGGGAGGCAGCAGUGGGGAAUAUUGCACAAUGGGCGCAAGCCUGAUGCAGCCAUGCCGCGUGUAUGAAGAAGGUCUUCGGGUUGUAAAGUACUUUCAGUGGGGAGGCGUUACCCGCAGAAGAAGCACCGGCUAACUCCGUGCCAGCAGCCGCGGUAAUUC